UACGUAGGGGGCGAGCGUUGUCCGGAAUUAUUGGGCGUAAAGAGCUCGUAGGCGGUUCGGCAAGUCACGUGUGAAAUCUCCACGCUCAACCUGGGAACUGCGUCUGAUACUGGAUGGCUUGAAUCCGGGAGAGGGAUGCAGAAUUCCAGGUGUAGCGGUGAAAUGCGUAGAUAUCUGGAGGAAUACCGGUGGCGAAGGCGGCAUCCUGGACCGGCAUUGACGCUGAGGAGCGAAAGCCAGGGGAGCAAACGGG
rnacentral:rRNA from 1 species